rnacentral:tRNA from 1 species
GUUUUUAUGGUGUAUCAAACAUAUUGCAUUUUCGUUGCAAAGCUGAAAAAAUAUUUUCUAAAAACC